rnacentral:rRNA from 1 species
AUUGAACGCUGGCGGCAGGCUUAACACAUGCAAGUCGAGCGGUAACAGAGAGAAGCUUGCUUCUCUGCUGACGAGCGGCGGACGGGUGAGUAAUGCCUAGGAAUCUGCCUAGUAGUGGGGGAUAACUUGCCGAAAGGUAAGCUAAUACCGCAUACGUCCUACGGGAGAAAGGAGGGGACCUUCGGGCCUUUCGCUAUUAGAUGAGCCUAGGUCGGAUUAGUUAGUUGGUGAGGUAAUGGCUCACCAAGACCGCGAUCCGUAACUGGUCUGAGAGGAUGAUCGGUCACGCUGGAACUGAGACACGGUCCAGACUCCUACGGGAGGCAGAAGUGGGGAAUAUUGGACAAUGGGGGGAACCCUGAUCCAGCCAUGCCGCGUGUGUGAAGAAGGUCUUAGGAUUGUAAAGCACUUUAAGUUGGGAGGAAGAGCAGUUAACUAAUAUUUGACUGUUUUGACGUUACCGACAGAAUAAGCACCGGCUAACUUCGUGCCAGCCGCCGCGGUAA